rnacentral:lncRNA from 1 species
AGCAUCAUUCACAUGAACAAACUCUCAGGCUAGUAAGUGCAGAGGAAGAUGUUUGAUAAUGCAGUGCAGCAAGUGGUAUAGAGUCCUGGCUUCUACAUGUUGAAGAGGUCCUUUGAAGGUCCUGGUCCCUCAAUCCAAUUAGGUUCUCCCUGAACUGGAAUAUGCUUCCAUUCCAUCCCACCCAUCCAGAGCAACAUCCAGCCCUCCUCAUCUACCACAGAGCAGAACAGAGAGAUGAGUCCAUGUCAACUCUGGCUGUAUGGAGGCAAAGCAGGCAGUGACUGUGUUGUGAGAACUUUGCCAUUAGGAUUUAGAGCAAUGACGCCAGGAAAUGAAAACCAAUCCAGUUGUUGAAGAGGAAAACAAACACACCUCAAAUACUGCUGUCAGCAUGGUCAUUUGGAAACCAGCAUGCCUAUUGG